AUUUUGCUGUUUUUCCUCCUCGUUUUGUUUAAAUUGCUUUUUAUUAUUUGAUUUUUGAUGUUUUUAAUGGUCUUCCCCCAUUUUUUUUUUCUGUUUCAUCAGCUUGUUCUUCUUAAAUUGUUAUCAUUUCAUUAUUAAGUUGUUUCAUCUCCUUAUUUUAUUUUGAUUUUGUUUAAUUUUUUAAGAUGAUCAUUAGAUAUUGAGUAAUUUUACAAAAAUGACAUGCUUUACUGUGACGGUCACACACUUUUCCGCAGCUUCUGCGGUGGGUUGGUGGAUGAUCCUCCUCAGUCAGUUGUGGAAAUGUUGUCACAAUAUUGUGACAGACAGAUUGUUGUGUGGCUGCACAGAGCGCAACAGAGAGCAUGACGCCAUUUAUGGCUGCUGGCUGCGUUUUUUUUUUUUUUUUUUUUUGGAGCCUUCAGAGAAAGUGAGGGAUUGAUCAGUGCAGAGGGGAAGUGGAGCUGAGAUGAAGAGAGGGAGGGAGGGAAGGAGAGAGUCGGAGGGGAGGGUGGGUGGGGGGAAUCACUCUCGCUGCAGAAUCUGCCGUUUGCUGGCACUCAGUCACACCGAGAGAGCGAGAGCGGGUCUCACAUACGGCCCAGGUACGGGUACAGAUGCCCGGGACAGGUGUCCGGACCAGUGAAGGAUGUGCGGAUAACAAAGUCGGCACAGGUUUGAAGGUAGACAGUGUGCGUGCGUGUGUGUGUGUGUGAGGCACGUGGCGGUUGCUCUCAUUUCCGGGAGUGUCCACACCGUCUGGUCCCUGAGGAUGAACGAUGCUUCUUGUUUGUGGGGGGAGGAGGAGUCUUCAAGGUGUGUAUGUGUGCAUCAGUUUUGCGUUUGCAGUGUAAAUGACAUGCAUGUUUUGACUGCCGUGUGCAUUAUCGGAUUUGCUUGCAGUUAGUGUUCUGCGGACGCAUGAUCUCGUCUGUGCUCCCAAAGUCACAAAAAAAGACAACUUAUUGGAAAAGCAGCGAGGGGGAAUCGCAGGCGCUGCGUGUCUGGGUGGGUGUGGGGUGGUCUUGCAGGGAGCUGCGUAAGCCGUUUUCUGCUAAUUUUGCCCCAACGCCAGUUUACUGGCUCUUGAAAGUGGCUGAUCAAUUGCUGCUACAUGUCUUUCGAUGUAAUGGAGUCAGUGGUGGGAGACGAGACGCAGACAGACACACACACACACAUACAGACGCUCAUGUCUGAAGCUGCAGUCAGAGGCCAGCGGUUCUGCUCACCAGAGAUCCUGAGGAUGAGAAACACAAGACAAAGAGAAAGACGGACAGAGAGACUGACCAUCUGACUGUUGGCUAUCUCGACGGGCAGCUUCAAAUCCAACCGCUCGUCCUGAUUUCCUCUUACCUGAUUGGUUUUUUUCCGUCUGCUUUUGUGCAUGCCAUUUGGUGCAUGAUAUGCCUGUGCGCUGCGUGUCUGCGGCUCUAAACUUUGCAAUGAAGACCAAAAAAAGGCACAUUUUAUUAUCAUAGGCCGAACGUUAUUAGCAGAAUAAUCUUCGUUAUGCUGGAUGAAAGAGGACGUGAGUGUGCAAUACAUGUGUGUGUGUGUUUGUGACUAACCUGUGCGGACACCGCUGCACUCCUCCUGGUCCCUGAGACCCUAACUUGUGAGCUUUGUGUGCUAAAAAUCACAGGUUAAGCUCUUGGGACCUGGGCAGAGGGCAAAAGCACUCAAUCCCCUGGCUGUGUCCCGACUGAGACGGACGCGGGACGGAUGUCUGUGAGAGAUAAGACAGAGAAACGGUGGACCAGAGAGCGGAUGCGACACUGGCGUGUCUGAGAGAUUAAAUGUUCAAUAUGUUCACAUGCCUGAUGAUGAUGAUGAUGGUUUCUAAUGGUUUUUAAAUAAAACUUGACCGUGCACAUCU